rnacentral:rRNA from 1 species
AAGGGAUUUUCCAUUCUCAUGGAUUCCCGAACCCUCACCUUUAUCCAAUUACACCUGUGCACUGUUGGUUAGGUGUCUCCAAUUUAGGAGAUUCAUCUGCCAACGCCAAAUUUAACAAACCCUGAGUUUAUUGAAUGUGAAUUAACUAUGCCUUUAGUUGGGCAGAAAAUUAAUACAACUUUCGACAACGGAUCUCUUGGUUCUCCCAUCGAUGAAGAACGCAGCGAAAUGCGAUAAGUAAUGUGAAUUGCAGAAUUCAGUGAAUCAUCGAAUCUUUGAACGCACCUUGCGCUCCUGGGUAUUCCCAGGAGCAUGCCUGUUUGAGUGUCAUGAAUCCCUCAAAUCCCAAUGUUUUGCAAAACUCAUUGCUUGGAUUUGGUCAUGGGCCGACUUUGCUACUUUAUUGUUAGCUGGCCUUAAAGACAUUAGCUUGGACUUUCGAACCUUUUCGGAAGGGUCUCCAUAUGAUGUGAUAAAUUUACGUCGAUGGGCUAAUGACUCUACUGUUGUUAAUGGUUUUGAAAACGAAUAGUCUAGCUUUCUAACCCGGCGAAGAGUUCCAUCUCUGACCCACUUUUUCAUUUAACUCUGGCCUCAAAUCAGG